CCUCUAGAUGUUCUGGGCCGCACGCGCGCUACACUGAACAGUUCAACAAGUCUUAACCUUGGCCGAUAGGUCUGGGUAAUCUUUGAACGCUGUUCGUGAUUGGGAUAGACCUUUGCAAUUAUGGGUCUUCAACGAGGAAUUCCUAGUAAACGCAAGUCAUCAGCUUGCAUUGAUUACGUCCCUGCCCUUUGUACACACCGCCCGUCGCACCUACCGAUUGAAUGGUCCGGUGAAAUCUCGGGACGGCGGCUUGGUCGCUUGCGUCCGACUGCUGAAACUUGAUUAAACCAUAUCAUUUAGAGGAAGGUGAANUCGUAACA
rnacentral:rRNA from 1 species